CAGUUGAUAGUUUAAUGAAAAUUCGGGUUUUGGGAAUCCGUGAUCUCUCUGAUGAGUUAGCUGA
rnacentral:tRNA from 1 species